rnacentral:tRNA from 1 species
UUUAAGAUGGCAGAAAGUGCCCAAGAUUUAAGCUCUUGUAAUGAAAUUUAUAAUUUCUCUUAAAA